UACGGGGGGAGCAAGCGUUGUUCGGAUUUACUGGGCGUAAAGGGCGCGUAGGCGGCCACCGCAAGUCGGUUGUGAAAUCUCUGGGCUUAACCCAGAAAGGUCAACCGAUACUGCGGGGCUAGAGUGCAGAAGGGGCAACUGGAAUUCUCGGUGUAGCGGUGAAAUGCGCAGAUAUCAGGAAGAACACCCGUGGCGAAGGCGGCUCUCUGGUACGUGACUGACGCUGAGACGCGAAAGCGUGGGGAGCGAACAGG
rnacentral:rRNA from 1 species